rnacentral:rRNA from 1 species
AUUGAACGCUGGCGGCAGGCCUAACACAUGCAAGUCGAGCGGAUGAAGGGAGCUUGCUCCUGGAUUCAGCGGCGGACGGGUGAGUAAUGCCUAGGAAUCUGCCUGGUAGUGGGGGAUAACGUCCGGAAACGGGCGCUAAUACCGCAUACGUCCUGAGGGAGAAAGUGGGGGAUCUUCGGACCUCACGCUAUCAGAUGAGCCUAGGUCGGAUUAGCUAGUUGGUGGGGUAAAGGCCUACCAAGGCGACGAUCCGUAACUGGUCUGAGAGGAUGAUCAGUCACACUGGAACUGAGACACGGUCCAGACUCCUACGGGAGGAAGCAGCGGGGAAUAUUGGACAAUGGGCGAAAGCCUGAUCCAGCCAUGCCGCGUGUGUGAAGAAGGUCUUCGGAUUGUAAAGCACUUUAAGUUGGGAGGAAGGGCAGUAAGUUAAUACCUUGCUGUUUUGACGUUACCAACAGAAUAAGCACCGGCUAACUUCGUG